UAGUUGGUGGAGUGAUUUGUCUGAUUAAUUUCGAUAACGAACGAGACCUCAGCCUGCUAACUAGUUGUACUUUACUUUUUGUAAGGUCGCAGCUUCUUAGAGGGACUAUUGGUGACUAACCAAUGGAAGUAUGAGGCAAUAACAGGUC
rnacentral:rRNA from 1 species